CUCAGUGUGGUUUAGUGGUUUGAGCAUUGAACUAUUACUCUGGAGACCAGGGUUCAAAUCCCAGCUUAGCCA
rnacentral:tRNA from 1 species